rnacentral:rRNA from 1 species
AGUCAAGUAAUUAAGUGCAUGUGGUGGAUGCCUUGGCAGUCAGAGGCGAUGAAAGACGUGAUAGCCUGCGAAAAGCUCCGGGGAGGCGGCAAAUAUCCUUUGAUCCGGAGAUGUCUGAAUGGGGGAACCCACCUACUUUAAGGUAGGUAUUGCAACAUGAAUACAUAGUGUUGCAAGGCGAACGAGGGGAAGUGAAACAUCUCAGUACCCUUAGGAAAAGAAAUCAAUUGAGAUUCCCUC